AUGAAGUUACUGUGUUGGAAUUGUCGCGGGAUUGGCGACCCUGCGACGGUCCGUGAGCUCCGCGAUCUCGUGGAGGCAUGUGCGCCGAUUGUGCUUUGUAUUAUGGAAACACAGUUGGCGAAGUACCAGGUGGAAGGUUUGGCGGGUACUUUAGGUUUUUCAGGUCGUUUUGGAGUAGAUAGUGGUGGUAGGAGUGGAGUUUUAUGCUUGUUUUGGAAGAAUGAUGUUAAUAUUGAAAUAAAAACUUAUUCUCGCUAUCAUAUUGAUUCAGUGGUGAAAUUGGUGGGAAGGACCCGUGGUGUUUGUGUGACGUCCGGAUAA
rnacentral:rRNA from 1 species